UACAGAGGUCCCAAGCGUUGUUCGGAUUCAUUGGGCGUAAAGGGUGCGUAGGCGGCGCGGUAAGUCGGGUGUGAAAUCUCGGAGCUUAACUCCGAAACUGCAUUCGAUACUGCCGUGCUGGAGGACUGGAGAGGAGACUGGAAUUUACGGUGUAGCGGUGAAAUGCGUAGAUAUCGUAAGGAAGACCAGUGGCGAAGGCGGGUCUCUGGACAGUUCCUGACGCUGAGGCACGAAGGCCAGGGAGCAAACGGG
rnacentral:rRNA from 1 species